CUACGGGCGGCACCAGUGAGGAAUAUUGCACAAUGGGGGGAACCCUGAUGCAGCAACGCCGCGUGGGGGAUGACGCAUUUCGGUGUGUAAACUCCUUUUAUAUGUCAAGAAAAUGACGGUAGCAUAUGAAUAAGCACCGGCUAACUCCGUGCCAGCAGCCGCGGUAAUACGGAGGGUGCAAGCGUUACUCGGAAUCACUGGGCGUAAAGGACGCGUAGGCGGGUUGGAAAGUCAGGUGUGAAAUCCUACAGCUUAACUGUAGAACUGCACUUGAAACUUCUAAUCUAGAGUAUGGGAGGGGGAGAUGGAAUUAGUGGUGUAGGGGUAAAAUCCGUAGAUAUCACUAGGAAUACCUAAAGCCAAGGCGAUCUCCCGGAACAUUACUGACGCUAAGGCGUGAAAGCGUGGGGAGCAAACAGGAUUAGAUACCCUUGUAGUC
rnacentral:rRNA from 1 species